UACGAAGGGGGCUAGCGUUGUUCGGAUUUACUGGGCGUAAAGCGCGCGUAGGCGGGUUCUCAAGUCAGGGGUGAAAUCCCCGGGCUCAACCUGGGAACUGCAUUUGUGACUGCACGGCUAGAGUGUGUCAGAGGGGGGUAGAAUUCCACGUGUAGCAGUGAAAUGCGUAGAUAUGUGGAGGAAUACCGAUGGUGAAGGCAGCCCCCUGGGAUAACACUGACGCUCAUGCACGAAAGCGUGGGGAGCAAACAGG
rnacentral:rRNA from 1 species